UCCGUACGGAGGGCAGCAGUGGGGAAUUUUGGACAAUGGGCGAAAGCCUGAUCCAGCAAUGCCGCGUGUGUGAAGAAGGCCUUCGGGUUGUAAAGCACUUUUGUCCGGAAAGAAAUGGCUCUGGUUAAUACCUGGGGUCGAUGACGGUACCGGAAGAAUAAGGACCGGCUAACUACGUGCCAGCAGCCGCGGUA
rnacentral:rRNA from 1 species